rnacentral:lncRNA from 1 species
UUAAAACUAAGUGAAUAAUGUUAGAAAUGUAUUUUGAUAACAAAUUCAUGCAAAAAGAAAAACUUGAUUAACAUUUUGCAAUUCAAAAGAUCAAUUUAAAAUAUUGAUAUAUAAAAGACUAUAUUGAUACAAUCCUAUAAUUUCAAGGACUAAAUUACAUAUUUACUCCUCAAUUUGGUGACUCAAGUUUGCAAGAGCCACCAAGAGAUAAAUAAAUGAGAGGCAAUAAAUUGGCAUGUACUCUUCAACUAGCUAUCAUUUUGUUCUAUAAGCCUAGCUCCUUUUUUAACUGUGCUAGAGUGGCUUCUAUUUCAUCGAGGUUAUCCUCAACGCUUGUGUUUCCCUUGCUAGCUUUGCCUUGAGUGCUGUUGCUUGGUGUCUCUGUCUCGUAUAAAUUGGAUCGAUUUCCUCCUUGAGGAUUGUCAUUUUGAUCAACAAUAUUGAGUUCUUUCUCAAGAAACUCCACAAAUUCUUCUCCUAUUUCCUGAAAGUUAAAAUUUCAAAAAUUUAGUCCACAUGUGAGUCCAUGUUGCAUACCAAAGCAUAGCAAAAGAUCAUUUUAUAACAGUUCAAAAUGUAUGUUUAGUGUAAUUUUUCUUUGUAAAACUCAGCGUUUCUGUAUCUAUAACUAGGCACGCGACCACGUCAGAACUCAACUCCAGCAAAAACAAAGAAAAUUGUUAGCGAGAAGUCUCACCGACAAUUCCUCCCAUAGGCUCUUUGGCUUUCCUUGUGAAGCUGCACUGGCUUCCCAAUUCCUGAAUUCUUCUUGAAAAUCCUUAAAGAAGUCUCCUGAAAUAACAAUAUCAUCAAAUCUCAAACGCCACGCGAAAUGGAAUAUAAAAUUAAGUUGCAACAUGUAACACCAGAGACGUCCAUCUCCCCCAGUUGAUAGAAUUAUAUGGGACACAAUAAGUGGCCAGUAAAAUUUGUAAUGCAAUGCAGGCUAAACUUAUGACUGGCUUGAUCCCAGAGAGUAUAUAACAACCUAUUGUUAUUUGAGCAUCUCUCAAAAAAUUACCUGCUGCAGUAAGAUGAUGUUGACAUAAGAUUCUUCUUCAGCUUGUGGAUUCCGACUUUGGCUUCUUUGAGAUGAAUUAUAACCACGACUUCCAGAAUCAUAUUUUUUGCGAGAACUAGAAUUUAACAAUGUAUUGUAUGCAUGUUUUAUUCUCAUAAAUUUCUCCUGAGCCUUAUCCUGUGAGAAUACACUUUAAAAUGCAUAAAUAAGCACUAAGUAUUUGUAUCUUCUGAGAGUUAAACUAUUGAUACAUUUAUUGGAAAUAUAGUUAAAAUCAAGGAAUUGUCAGAUACAAUACUCAAGAACUUUCUUAGUAUUUUCAUAUAUGAUAUUCAUAAUCCACAAUUUUUUCCAACUGAUGAGAACAUAAAAUAAAUUGAAGAACGAAAGUGAUUUUCUAACAAGGAUACUAAGACUUAAAAGUCAGAGUACACAUUAAAGAUGGUUAUAGAGCAGUAACUUUGGCAAAACUAAAACUUUCUGAUAGCAAUAGUCAUGAAAACUAAUUACUCAGACCUUGAGCGAAAGAGGGAAAUAAUGCAGAACCCUCAGUAGAGUGUAUCUUUUCCAUUAUAGGUAACACCAAGUUUGAGUUAAAUUUUGUGCAAACCAGUAAAAUUUCAUGGGACAAUUUAGCAACAGCAAUGAAAACCAAUAAAGUAUGCAACCAGGAAAUAUUUAUUUUCAAACAAAAACUGGCGCACCACAAUGUUCCAACCUCAAGUCCACUACACUGUUUUCUAAAGUAUUGUCUAUUUUGGAUCCUACUUAAACCCUCACGGUUUUGCCCUCAAAAGUUAAUGCACUUCAUUAGGUUGGGAAUUAUGAGUGUUUAUCAGCUAGAUUAUUAUGUUAUUUUUAUAUUUUAGAUAGAUUUGUUAUUUUUAUGUUUCAGCUAGAUUUAUUAUUUUUAUAUAUUUUAGCUUGAUUUAUUAUUGUAGCGCUUGCUGAAACCCUAAUAAUUCAUUCAACAUGUUGUAGCGAAUUCUACCAUGGGAGAAUUAGAAUUCGAUCCUCUGCUUCUUUGUAAACCAAAAAAAAAGAAUUCUACCAUGGGAGUUGGUGGUGGACAUAUCGGUGGUGGAAGUAUUGGUGGCGNUCUAGGUUUUUUACACCGGCAGCAAAAAUUGCCAAUGAAUUUGAUUCUCAUGGUACGAUUCAAUUGAACAAACUUAGUGGAUUUAAAAAGUAUAAGAUUUCGGAUAUUACAUUCUUUGAUCGGAAUCGGAAAACAAAUGUUAGUUCCGAUGAUUUGUUUACCAGGAUUAUUACUAUUGUCCCCGGAGGAGUGUACACUAAAGCUCAACUUCAGAAAGAAUUGGAGAGUUUUGAAUCAAGUAGAUUGUUUGAGAAGGUUGAUUUUGAAGGAAAAACUAAUGCAGAUGGAACAAUUGGAAUCAAGGUUUUGUUUAGGGAGUAUACUUGGGAAGUUCCUGAAAAAUUUCGUUGUAUAAAUGUCGGUACGAUGCCACAGACAAAGCCGGUUGAAUUGGAGAGGCCGUGUAUUUUGCCUAAGACGGUACAUAUGGAGGUUAUGGAUAUGUUGAGGAAAGAGAAGACUUUGAGUGUUAGGUUGUUGUAUAAGAUAAGGGAUAGAGUUCAGAAGUGGUAUCAUGAUGAAGGGUAUGUUUGUGCUCAAGUGGUUAAUUUUGGAAAUCUUGACACUAAAGAGGUUGUUUGUGAGAUUGUUGAAGGAGACAUUAGUAAAUUGUCUGUUCAGUUCGUCGAUAACCUUGGCAAUUUUGUUGAAGGCAAUACUCCAGCCCCUCUCAUACUUAGAGAGCUUCUCAAAGAGGUAUAAUACAAUAUACAUUGCAUAGUUUUUUUUUAUCCUAAAACUGUUAAUUGGUUUUGGUUACUCACUUGAUUCAUGUUUGUAUUGGAUUAACAGUUGUUUCCGGGUAACACCUUUAACAUUGAAGCAGGGAAGCAAGCUUUAAGAAACAUAGGUUCCCUUGCUUUGUUUUCGAAUAUUGAGAUUAAUCCACGACCUGAUGAGAGUAGUGAGGGAAGCAUAAUUGUUGAAAUUAAGGUAAUAGAGUUUGGAGCACAAGACAUCUGAAGUCAAUACUGAAUGGAUUAUUGUUCCUUGACGAGGAGGGUAUCCCACUUGAUUUUUUGUAUUCUUCACCAUUAUUGUUUGUUGUUGUGUUGUGCUCAUCUUCCUUUCCCAUAAGUUGUUUCACAGCAAAUCGAUUAUUUCAAAAAAAAAUUACUUAAAGAAGGUGACUAAUUCCUGUCCUUGUAAUAUAAGUUUCACUCACUCAUUUUCUUUAAUUUAUACUUCUAUUGAGAUUUGUUUUCUGAUUUGAAAUUUAAGGCAUUAUUGAUUGAAAAUACACUUGAAAAUCAUAUGGGAAUGCAUUUCGUAAGAUUUAUAUGAUUUUAAACAUUAAUCUACCUACUUAUAUAUUUCAAAACUUUUUGAAUAAUAGAGAAUCGAAAGAAAACAAAAACAUAGCUGCGGGAAGAAUCGAACUGCAAACCUCUAUAGUUGUGCUAAUGAUAGGUAUUUGUAGUACUUAGCAAGUAGCAACUAAAGUUAUACUACCUCUGUCUCUAAUUAUAAGAUAAUGUUAGACAAAAAUAUACUAUUCAUUUAUUUUGUUUUGACCGUAUUUUUUUAAUAAUAUAUAAAUAUAAAUAUUAGCAUAUAAGAUCUUGUUCAAUUUGUUUUGAUCGGUAUUUUCAAGAUAUUAAAUUUUUAUAAUUUUUACUAAUAGACAAUUAAAGAUAUUAGUGAUCAAAAUUGUGCAUUGACGUACGUGUAGUGAUCAAACAGAGAUAGUAUAUAUUAUCCUAAAUGCUAAACGAGUGCUUUGGUUUGUUGUAGGUAUUAGGCCAACCGAUUUUUUAAUUUUUUUUAAUAAUUAAUAUGUAAUUAAUUAAUUAAAGAGUUAAAUAAGUUUUUAAGACAAGAAAAAAAAAGAGUUAAAUAAGUUUCUAUUCUUAUAAAUUUAUCAAAUUUUAUUUUCAAAAUCAUCAAAAAAUUCUCCAGUAGAAUAUCACACUAUCCUCAAGAUGAUUCCUCAAUUUCCUGAUGAUGAAGUAUGUCCUGUUUGUCGCAACUCGCAAGGCGUGUUUGGAUACAUGGGGAGCAUGCAGUUCAUUGUUGAGGGCUUCCAGGCUUCAAAUACAGACAUGACUUUGUUCACGAUGUCCUUUUUUAUGUUUUUAAGCGCGUAAGAGUAUUUGUGAAGAAAGAGACACAUGUGAACUUCUUGACUGAACCACUGGAGGGGAGAUCUACAUUGAGGCCACUCGAUAUUUUGGUGUACGGGUGGGUAGGAGGAAAACAUGCAUGUGUGGACUUGGAUGGAGUAUUCCCACUUGUGGGAUUGACGAUUGGGGAUUUUAUCGUAGGACGGACGGCCCUCAAAACUGCUUCAAGUAAAGUGGCCAAACAAUAUUCAGAAAGACAAACUUGAUUAACAUUUUGCAAUUCAAAAGAUCUUUUAAAAUAUUGAUUGAUAUAUAAAAGACAUAUUGAUACAAUCCUAUAAUUUCAAGGACUAAAGUACAUAUUUACUCCUCAAUUUGGUGACUCAAGUUUGCAAGAGCCACCAAGAGAUAAAUAAAUUAGAAUAAUUUGUAUUUGCUCUUCAACUAGCUAUCAUUUUGUUCUAUAAGCCUAGCUCCUUUUUUAACUGUGCUAGAGUGGCUUCUAUUUCAUCAAGGUUAUCCUCAACGCUUGUGUUUCCCUUGCUAGCUUUGCCUUGAGUGUUGUUGCUUGGCGUCUCUGUCUCGUAUAAAUUGGAUCGAUUUCCUCCCUGAGGAUUGUCAUUUUGAUCAACAAUAUUGAGUUCUUUCUCAAGAAACUCCAC